rnacentral:rRNA from 1 species
GACGAACGCUGGCGGCGUGCCUAAUACAUGCAAGUAGAACGCACAGUUUAUACCGUAGCUUGCUACACCAUAAACUGUGAGUUGCGAACGGGUGAGUAACGCGUAGGUAACCUGCCUGGUAGCGGGGAUAACUAUUGGAAACGAUAGCUAAUACCGCAUAAUAUUGAUUAUUGCAUGAUAAUUGAUUGAAAGAUGCUAUUGCAUCACUACCAGAUGGACCUGCGUUGUAUUAGCUAGUAGGUGAGGUAACGGCUCACCUAGGCGACGAUACAUAGCCGACCUGAGAGGGUGAUCAGCCACACUGGGACUGAGACACGGCCCAGACUCCUACGGGAGGCAGCAGUAGGGAAUCUUCGGCAAUGGACGGAAGUCUGACCGAGCAACGCCGCGUGAGUGAAGAAGGUUUUCGGAUCGUAAAGCUCUGUUGUAAGAGAAGAACGGGUGUGAGAGUGGAAAGUUCACACUGUGACGGUAUCUUACCAGAAAGGGACGGCUAACUACGUG